GGCGAACGGGUGAGUAACACGUGAGUAACCUGCCCUUGACUCUGGGAUAAGCCUGGGAAACUGGGUCUAAUACCGGAUACGACCAUCUGACGCAUGUCAUGGUGGUGGAAAGCUUUUGUGGUUUUGGAUGGACUCGCGGCCUAUCAGCUUGUUGGUGGGGUAAUGGCCUACCAAGGCGACGACGGGUAGCCGGCCUGAGAGGGUGACCGGCCACACUGGGACUGAGACACGGCCCAGACUCCUACGGGAGGCAGCAGUGGGGAAUAUUGCACAAUGGGCGCAAGCCUGAUGCAGCGACGCCGCGUGAGGGAUGACGGCCUUCGGGUUGUAAACCUCUUUCAGUAGGGAAGAAGCGAAAGUGACGGUACCUGCAGAAGAAGCGCCGGCUAACUACGUGCCAGCAGCCGCGGUAAUACGUAGGGGCAAGCGUUAUCCGGAAUUAUUGGGCGUAAAGAGCUCGUAGGCGGUUUGUCGCGUCUGCUGUGAAAGACCGGGGCUCAACUCCGGUUCUGCAGUGGGUACGGGCAGACUAGAGUGCAGUAGGGGAGACUGGAAUUCCUGGUGUAGCGGUGAAAUGCGCAGAUAUCAGGAGGAACACCGAUGGCGAAGGCAGGUCUCUGGGCUGUAACUGACGCUGAGGAGCGAAAGCAUGGGGAGCGAACAGGAUUAGAUACCCUGGUAGUCCAUGCCGUAAACGUUGGGCACUAGGUGUGGGGGACAUUCCACGUUUUCCGCGCCGUAGCUAACGCAUUAAGUGCCCCGCCUGGGAGUACGGCCGCAAGGCUAAAACUCAAAGGAAUUGACGGGGGCCCGCACAAGCGGCGGAGCAUGCGGAUUAAUUCGAUGCAACGCGAAGAACCUUACCAAGGCUUGACAUGAACCGGAAAGACCUGGAAACAGGUGCCCCGCUUGCGGUCGGUUUACAGGUGGUGCAUGGUUGUCGUCAGCUCGUGUCGUGAGAUGUUGGGUUAAGUCCCGCAACGAGCGCAACCCUCGUUCUAUGUUGCCAGCGCGUUAUGGCGGGGACUCAUAGGAGACUGCCGGGGUCAACUCGGAGGAAGGUGGGGACGACGUCAAAUCAUCAUGCCCCUUAUGUCUUGGGCUUCACGCAUGCUACAAUGGCCGGUACAAAGGGUUGCGAUACUGUGAGGUGGAGCUAAUCCCAAAAAGCCGGUCUCAGUUCGGAUUGGGGUCUGCAACUCGACCCCAUGAAGUCGGAGUCGCUAGUAAUCGCAGAUCAGCAACGCUGCGGUGAAUACGUUCCCGGGCCUUGUACACAC
rnacentral:rRNA from 1 species